CAAUAGCGUAUAUUAAAGUUGUUGCGGUUAAAAAGCUCGUAGUUGGAUUUCUGCUGAGGACGAUCGGUCCGCCCACUGGGUGAGUAUCUGGCUCGGCCUUGGCAUCUUCUUGGAGAACGUUGCUGCACUUGACUGUGUGGUGCGGUAUCCAGGACUUUUACUUUGAGGAAAUUAGAGUGUUUCAAGCAGGCGCACGCCUUGAAUACAUUAGCAUGGAAUAAUAAGAUAGGACCUUAGUUCUAUUUUGUUGGUUUCUAGAGCUGAGGUAAUGAUUAAUAGGGAUAGUUGGGGGCAUUCGUAUUUAACUGUCAGAGGUGAAAUUCUUUGAUUUGUUAAAGACGGACUACUGCGAAAGCAUUUGCCAAGGAUGUUUUCAUUGA
rnacentral:rRNA from 1 species